CUUCAAAAUAUAUAUUAACAUUAAAUGUAGAAUUGGUUUCCAUAUAUGAUGAUUUUUUUUUUUUGAUUUUUUUGUUUAAGUGGCUUAGCAAAAGGGGUUAACAACUACAAUGAGUCCUCGAAGAUGGGUUACUUAAGGGUUAAUGCAUUCUGGGGUCACAAGGUCAGCCAAUUUAGAAUGUUCCCAAGUACAGGAGGUGAUAGUCUUUCCUCAUCUGCAUUCUGACUAGAAUUCAUUUUACGCGAGACCUCUUGAUUCUCCGUUAAGGAUGUGUCACUCAGCCACUGCAACAAAAGAUUGUUGAAGUAAAAGCGAUCAUAAUUUCAUCUCCUCUUAGUCUCCUGCAUCUCAUCAUCUCGAGGUGAUG